AAGGUGCAAGCGUUAUCCAGUUUUAUUGGGUUUAAAGGGUGCGUAGGCGGCUUAUUAAGUCAGUUGUGAAAUCCUAGUGCUUAACGCUAGAACUGCAAUUGAUACUAUUAGGCUUGAGUUAAGAAUAGGUAAGUAGAAUUUAUGGUGUAGUAGUGAAAUGCUUAGAUAUCAUAGGAAUACCAAUAGCGUAGGCAGCUUACUGAUCUUUAACUGACGCUGAGGCACGAAAGUGGGGAGCAAACAGGAUUAGAUACCCUGGUAGUCCACGCCGUAAACGAUGAUCACGCGGUAU
rnacentral:rRNA from 1 species